rnacentral:misc_RNA from 1 species
GAUGAAGAACGUAGCGAAAUGCGAUAAGUAAUGUGAAUUGCAGAAUUCAGUGAAUCAUCGAAUCUUUGAACGCACAUUGCGCCCGCCAGCAUUCUGGCGGGCAUGCCUGUUCGAGCGUCAUUUGAACCCUCGAGCCCCCCCGGGGGCCUCGGUGUUGGGGGACGGCACACCAGCCGCCCCCGAAAUGCAGUGGCGACCCCGCCGCAGCCUCCCCUGCGUAGUAGCACACACCUCGCACCGGAGCGCGGAGGCGGUCACGCCGUAAAACGCCCAACUUUCUUAGAGUUGACCUCGGAUCAGGUAGGAAUACCCGCUGAACUUAAGCAUAUCAAUAAGCGGAGGA